AAAAAGGGACUUCUGUCGUGAGUGGCAGCGGGUAAGGCAGCCUGACUGCUCUGCAUGUGGAAUCGACGUCAAGAGAUUUCGGAAGCAUAAUUUUUUGGUAUCUGGGCAGCUGGUGAUCGUUGGCCCUGACGCCUGG